CCUCCCGCCCGCCGCCGCGCAGGGAGGCCCCGCCGGGGCUGCCCGCCCCGCUGCCUGCGCUGCCCGCCCCGCCGCCUGCGCUGCCCGCCCCGCCGCCGAGCUCCGCCGCCGAGCUCCGGCGCCCUCCCGCGCCUCCCCGCCGCGCCGCCCGGCCGGGCCGAGACGCCGGCCGGGGGAAGGGGCCCGGCGGGGCUCCGCCGGUUCGGGGCAGGCGCCGGGGAGAGCCCCGGAAGCGCCGCCGGCCCCGAAGGCCCCGCUGAGGCGGGCCGGCCCGGGCGCAGCUCCCCGCUCCGCUCCCGCCGGCGGCUGCCCCGGGCGCUCCCCUGAGGAGGGGUGAGGGGUCGGGCCCCCGCAGCCCCGCCGGGCGGUGGCUGCCCCGGGAGCGCUGGGGCUGCCCGGGGCCUCGGAGCGCUGGUAGGGCGGCAGCAGGUGCCUCAGGCGGCCCGGCGGGGCUGGCGAGUGCCGCCCCUCCGAACCGUGUUCCCGGCCCGGACUGGGGAGGAGGGGAAGGGAAGAGGGAAGUAAAGGGAAAGGAAAAGAAAAAGGGAAGGCGGCCACCCCAUCUCCAUCUACCUCAUUUUCUUCUCCUGGCAGCAUAAGUGCUGUGCGGAUGCAGCACUGGGUCUGGGCGCUGGGUCCAGCACUUCAAACACCCGUAGGCAGAUGAGCCUCCAGGCUGUUGAAGGUGACGUUCUCUGAAGCAGAGCUGCUGGAGCUCUCAGGGAGCUCUGUGAUAAAGCUGCCCAACGGAAUUACGUGCGUUCUGCCGGAGGGGGUUGCCGCGGGUUGGAGGAGGACUGUAAUGAAGCAUUAGACCGAUGACAGCAGGCCAGGGAGCCGUGCCGGCAGCUGGCGGGAGGAACUCUGCUGUGCACGUCUGCCUUGUUCCCCUGCUCAGGGCCAUGAGCUCUUUCCCUGCCUGGCAGGGGUCGGGGUGGGCGUUAAUACCCGUUAGAGACCAGGCAGAGUUUGCCUCAGAGCUGCUGGAGGCUGCCUGAUCAACCUUCUGCAAACUCUGGGAGCUCACGUACCGAUGGAAGUGAACUUGAGUAUCCAUUAGUAACUUGGUGCAAUAACACUAACCACAUGCUGCCCCUUUCCUUCUCCCGCUCUUCUUCCCACCUCUGCAUACUCCUCACUUUCUGCCUAUUCCUCUCAAUAACAAACUUGUUCAGUAAUACGCUUUUUCAGAAAGAUAUUAGCCACGCUGUCUUGAUGAACUCCCAGCUGGAAGCAGCCCGUCCCUCUCAGACGUACUUUUUGGAAAAGCUCGCUAAGAAUUAAUUUUUCAAGAUAGCUUAAAUCACUCGCUGUCCUCCUAUGACAAAUGCUGCAACACUCCACUGCUAAAUUGCCUUUUGUUACUUUAUUGGCUACUGCAGCCAUCAUUUGCAAUAAAAAUAAAGCUAGCAGUUAUCUUGGGUAA